rnacentral:rRNA from 1 species
GUGUCAGCAGCCGCGGUAAUACGAAGGACCCGAGCGUUAUCCGGAUUUAUUGGGUUUAAAGGGUGCGUAGGCGGACAAGCAAGUCAGUGGUGAAAUCUCCCGGCUUAACCGGGAAACUGCCAUUGAAACUAUUUGUCUUGAGUACAUUUGAGGCGGGCGGAAUGUGUCAUGUAGAGGUGAAAUUCUUAGAUAUGACACAGAACACCAAUUGCGAAGGCAGCUCGCUAAACUGUAACUGACGCUGAGGCACGAAAGCGUGGGGAUCAAACAGGAUUAGAUACCCCAGUAGUCC